rnacentral:lncRNA from 1 species
CUUUUCUGGCAGAUUACUUCUGUGAGCAACUGGGUCUCUCAGUUCUUUGGGAGCACCCUGGGAAACAGUGUGGCUAUGACUUGGAGCUGCUCACCAGUUCCAGUCAUUCUGUGGUUGAGAGCUGCUCCCUAUGGAUGUUAAUUCUUCUCUAUUUUAGAUUUUCCACAGGUGUGGGCCCCAUUAGCUCUGGCCACCUGAGAAAGCCCUCAGGCAAAGAGUCGCAGGUGAAAGCCAGCAGUUAGAGGUUCACAGAAAUGAGUGCAGAAGCAUCUUCAGUUGGAGAGCCAUUGCCUCUUGCUGUGAAAUAUUUGGGAAUCUUCAGAAACCAUGAAGAAUAACCUGCUAAAGGCCACCAAGUUCUAUUGAACAUCAUGAAUCCUAUGCUCAAGUGAGAUCAGCUCAAGUGAGACCAGAUAUCUGAAGACCUUUUCAUUUUCGCCACCCUCAAAUGAAGGCAUGCAAGGAUAAUUAUUAUGUGAACACAGAAGAAGGGUGCCUAACGUAAUCUGGAAAUACCACAGAAGACUUCCUGAAAGAAGUGUCUUGGCCUGAGUCUCGAAGAAUGAGCAGUUAUUAAUUAAAUGAGAUGAUGGAGACAUUGAAGGAGGCUCAGAAAAUACUUAGUCAACAAGCAUUUAUUAUCCCUCUACCCCAGAGGAUAUUUGGCAAUGUCUGGGGACAUUUUUGAUCUUCACAACUGGGGAAGGAAUGCUACUGGCAUCUAGUGGGUAGGGCCAGAGAUGCAGCUAAGCAUCCAACAAUGCACACAGCAUAGCCCCCACAGCAAAGAAAUAGCCCCAAAUGUCAAUAGUGCCAAAGUUGAGAAACUCUGCCCAGAACGCUCUUCCUCCAGUCACCCAUUUCCUUUAAGUCUCUACUCAAAUAUCAUCUUAAUGAGGCUUAGCCCGACUGCCUUCUGUGUAAAAUUGUUACCCGUCUCGGCACUUCCUCAGCUCCUUCUCUGAUUUUGUUUUAUUGUAGUACUUCUCACUGUUGGCUCUACUGAACCAUUUACUUAUUAUUUUAUUAUCAGCAUCUCUCCACUGAAAUAUAAAUUCUCUGAGGGUGGAAAAUUA